AAACCAUCUAGACGUAAUCAAUGCCUUUGAUAAUUUUUGUGUGAAAUCUGAUACAUGCAACCCUGCAGUACAACGUAGCACGUUUCAUCACUUCGUGAAGACACAUGGAUAAAUCGUUCAUCAUCCAACACUUCCAUUUGAGAAGAAGCGGCGAUUGACAUAACUAUAGUGAACGUAAUAAAUUGUGAUUGAAAACCAAGUUAGUCUUGUUUUUUUACGUGGCAUCGAAGUUAUAUCUAUAGAAAUGUAGUAUAGAAAAAAAAUGUGUGAGAUUGAAAGAUAGAUAGAUAUUAAUUCAUUCCAACUUUUAAAACAAUGGUAGUUUAGCGUAACGAUUUUUCGUCAUAUUUACUCAUCAACGAGAAUAAUUUUUCCCAUUGAAAGUUAUCUGGAUGAGACCGGAGUUCGCUCAUGAGGUUGCAAAUACGAGGUUAGAUUAAAUCGACUUUCUCAUUACUACCAGCAUAAGAAAAGUGAUCCUAAGCAUUUUUUAAAACAUUAGUGAACUUUUCGAAUCAAUGUACAGUGUUCCUACUUCGCACUUUAAAAGAUUUAGUUGGGUAGGAAAAACAAUGUCAAUCCUAACAGUAAUUAAACGGAUGUAGAAUUUGGAAAAUCGACAAACAUUGUCAUAGUCAACUUUUUUAUAUGAAUGUGUUUCCAAUUCCCAAUAUUCUGGGUUCAUACAAGGCUAAUCCUUCAUCAAUAAGCUUCAAUUACCUAUCCUUGUUUAUUAUCGAGCAUUUUCAGAACCUGGUAAAAGCUUCUAAAAAUUCAAAAAAUCGGUCACUCUUUUUUUUGGUUCGUGAAUUAUAUUUUUGUUUUGCUUCCCCUAAAACGUUUGAUGUGAAAGUUAAAUAAUACGGAUAGUAAAUUUUCUAAAAUAUCUCUUCUUCUGCCUUCAGCUACUUGGCUGUUUGGAUGGAUAAGUUAUAAACCAAUUAAAUUUUUAGAAAAGAAUAUU